GGUAGGAUGGCUGAGUAUUAAGCGGUGGAUUGUAGCCCCAUAUACAGAGGUGAAAAUCCUCUUCUUACCA
rnacentral:tRNA from 1 species